rnacentral:rRNA from 1 species
AGAGUUUGAUCCUGGCUCAGAUUGAACGCUGGCGGCAUGCCUUACACAUGCAAGUCGAACGGCAGCACGGGUGCUUGCACCUGGUGGCGAGUGGCGAACGGGUGAGUAAUAUAUCGGAACGUACCCUAGAGUGGGGGAUAACGUAGCGAAAGUUACGCUAAUACCGCAUACGAUCUACGGAUGAAAGUGGGGGAUCGCAAGACCUCAUGCUCAUGGAGCGGCCGAUAUCUGAUUAGCUAGUUGGUGGGGUAAAAGCCUACCAAGGCGACGAUCAGUAGCUGGUCUGAGAGGACGACCAGCCACACUGGAACUGAGACACGGUCCAGACUCCUACGGGAGGCAGCAGUGGGGAAUUUUGGACAAUGGGGGCAACCCUGAUCCAGCAAUGCCGCGUGAGUGAAGAAGGCCUUCGGGUUGUAAAGCUCUUUUGUCAGGGAAGAAACGGGAUUUUCUAAUACAAAGUCCUAAUGACGGUACCUGAAGAAUAAGCACCGGCUAACUACGUGCCAGCAGCCGCGGUAAUACGUAGGGUGCAAGCGUUAAUCGGAAUUACUGGGCGUAAAGCGUGCGCAGGCGGUUGUGCAAGACAGAUGUGAAAUCCCCGGGCUCAACCUGGGAAUUGCAUUUGUGACUGCACGGCUAGAGUGUGUCAGAGGGGGGUGGAAUUCCACGUGUAGCAGUGAAAUGCGUAGAGAUGUGGAGGAAUACCGAUGGCGAAGGCAGCCCCCUGGGAUAACACUGACGCUCAUGCACGAAAGCGUGGGGAGCAAACAGGAUUAGAUACCCUGGUAGUCCACGCCCUAAACGAUGUCUACUAGUUGUCGGGUCUUAAUUGACUUGGUAACGCAGCUAACGCGUGAAGUAGACCGCCUGGGGAGUACGGUCGCAAGAUUAAAACUCAAAGGAAUUGACGGGGACCCGCACAAGCGGUGGAUGAUGUGGAUUAAUUCGAUGCAACGCGAAAAACCUUACCUACCCUUGACAUGUACGGAACUUACCAGAGACGGUUUGGUGCUCGAAAGAGAACCGUAGCACAGGUGCUGCAUGGCUGUCGUCAGCUCGUGUCGUGAGAUGUUGGGUUAAGUCCCGCAACGAGCGCAACCCUUGUCAUUAGUUGCUACGAAAGGGCACUCUAAUGAGACUGCCGGUGACAAACCGGAGGAAGGUGGGGAUGACGUCAAGUCCUCAUGGCCCUUAUGGGUAGGGCUUCACACGUCAUACAAUGGUACAUACAGAGGGCCGCCAACCCGCGAGGGGGAGCUAAUCCCAGAAAGUGUAUCGUAGUCCGGAUUGUAGUCUGCAACUCGACUACAUGAAGUUGGAAUCGCUAGUAAUCGCGGAUCAGCAUGUCGCGGUGAAUACGUUCCCGGGUCUUGUACACACCGCCCGUCACACCAUGGGAGCGGGUUUCACCAGAAGUAGGUAGCCUAACCGCAAGGAGGGCGCUUACCACGGUGGGAUUCGUGACUGGGGUGAAGUCGUAACAAGGUA